GUAUAUCAUGUACUUCAUAUCAGCAGCUGGUAUAUCAUAUAUUUCGUUUAUCACGUAUUCUGUAACAAUACGGAGAGGCCUGUAUGGUAUAAAUUUAUCUUCUGUGUCAUAACCGCUGGGAAGGCGACGGCGAGUACCACCGGGUCAACACAUGGUCUGUAUCAGCCGUAAGAGCUGACCUGUCAAGAAACGUGUUUGUGUGAGGGGUCGUGCCAUAGGAAGUGGUGACGGCUCUUCAGAUGAUCGAUGCUGUGAGAUAGCAAGACCGCGACCUAACUAAUGUAUAACAUGUGAAGUAGAAUGUUACUUGGCGUCGUAGCCUGUGUAUGUUUAUAGUGUGAGGGCAGUUCGAGGGGAACCUCUGUGCCGUCGAGACGCCCAUACCAUUCUGGAAUCAGACCAAUAAGCUGAUAUUCUGACUGUUCCCGCAAUGCGUUUGACCGCUACUGAAUAAACCUUGAGCGAGUGCUA